rnacentral:rRNA from 1 species
ACACUCCUACGGGAGGCAGCAGUGGGGAAUAUUGGACAAUGGGCGCAAGCCUGAUCCAGCUAUGCCGCGUGAGUGAUGAAGGCCCUAGGGUUGUAAAGCUCUUUCACCGGUGAAGAUAAUGACGGUAACCGGAGAAGAAGCCCCGGCUAACUUCGUGCCAGCAGCCGCGGUAAUACGAAGGGGGCUAGCGUUGUUCGGAUUUACUGGGCGUAAAGCGCACGUAGGCGGACUAUUAAGUCAGGGGUGAAAUCCCGGGGCUCAACCCCGGAACUGCCUUUGAUACUGGUAGUCUUGAGUUCGAGAGAGGUGAGUGGAAUUCCGAGUGUAGAGGUGAAAUUCGUAGAUAUUCGGAGGAACACCAGUGGCGAAGGCGGCUCACUGGCUCGAUACUGACGCUGAGGUGCGAAAGCGUGGGGAGCAAACAGGAUUAGAAACCCGUGUAGUCCCAUG